UUUGCUUAUUUCAUCUUAUUUCUCAAUUGCAAUCCAUCUUGAAAGGCAAUUCAUUCUAAAUAUUCACAAAAUGUAGAAUUUAUUGACCAGAACUAAGUACUUGGUUUUACUGUGGAUGGCCCCCAACUUGACAGGCAGAGGCUCUUCUUGAAGGGCAGAAGUUGUGCUUUAAGUAACUCUGACUGAGAUUCCACCAUUGCUUGGUUCUUCUUGUGUUCUGAAGCUGUAUUGAGUUUAUCAGAAUAACAAUAUUGGAACAUCAUUCAAAAGCUUAGUAGACUUGAACCAAGCCUGAACUGUUCUCAACAAUGUUGGAAGGCUUUCGAUAGAAAAUGAAUUACGUGGAACUCAACAGAGAACAGUAUUUUUAGUUUAAAUUGUUUUAAACUCCUUUUAAUUCCAACUAAGAUGAAGUCUGCUGUAAAAGACCAGUUCACAGGAUUUAAAAAUACAGUUGUAACUUUUUGCUGAAAAAUGGUGAGAAUGAGAAAACAGAAUAAGAAAAUUAUUGCUACAAAAUACUUUAAAGUGAUAGUUGUUAAGAAAUAGAUUUAAUAAUUUCUGUAUAAUAUUCAUUCUCUCUGUUGCUUUUAUAUGCAGUAGAAAUGUUCAUUAAGGAAUGUAUAUGUUAUAUUUUAUUAGAAAAAAUAAAAGCAAGAAAUAAAUAAGGAGCAAUAAUUCUUGUCAGUAGCACUACAGUUGCAUUUCAAUGCUAUUUUCAUUGUUUUGAUUAAUAAUGACCAUAACUUUUUAGAGCUGAAGAGCUGCUUAACUGAAUUCUUGCUUUCAAUACCUUCAUAUCUCAGAUGUGACUUUAAACUAAAACCAGCUUAACCUGUCAAACAUUGACGGGGCAAAUAUGAGAACUGGAGCUUCUUCCCAAAUGUAUGUGUUCUCAGUCGAUGUUUACGGAGAAGAAAGAUUAGAGCUGGUGAAUUUUUAGUAUGAAGCUGUGACCCUGACUUGAAUGAGUAUCAAAUCACAGAUGAAUGGACUGUUGGCUGCUCGAUUCCUGCAAAUUCUUUGAAAUUCCAUUUCUGACUAAUGGCCUGUGUUCUGAGAUUUUUAUUAUGAAGUCUGAAAAAUGUGAAAUUUGUGCAUAUGUGCUGGAUCCUCCAUAUUGAAGCCAGCUGACUUAAAUGCUGACCCUCAUGCUGACUAAAGCUGUGGCAGUGGGUUUUGUUGCUCUGAGGAACAUCACCUGAAGAAUCUGUUAGGUGCAAAUGCUCUGACCUGAUCCUGGAGACAAUAAAAAGCUGACAAUCAUUAUUAGAGGCCCCGACCAAUGUAUGCAUUUAGAAGUGAAUAGAUGUUUUUUGUAUUGCUAGUGUACUUAGUGUACUCAUCUUAGUAUCAUCCACUGUUAUAAUGGAGACUGAAAGAGGAGAGACUGAAAAGUUCAACGAUAAUGGUACCUACCUUCCCUGGCUGUGAAGUGUAAGACCAACAGUUGCUUUCGCCACUGGAGGGCACUACCAUCCUUUCUGGUUCAUAGACAUUUUCCCAAGUACCGAGUCAUUUCUGGGAAAUAUUUUGAAGUUUUAAGAGGAAGCGUGCAUUUUAAAAGUAUAUCAAAAUGCUAUCUGCUCUUUAUUAUAGGACUAAUUAAGCCAGAUUUCUUUUAAAGCUAUAUUUAUAUGCUUACAUGGUUUCAUAGUUGUUACCAUGAAAUGUUUACUAUUUGGUCUCCUUUCACUAUUAUUCAAUCCAUUUAACUUUCCCUAACUAAACAUCACUGCCUCUUAUUUCCCUGUGUAUCCUUUUGCAUUCAUUUUAUCCUUAUUUUUCAGGAUGACUGUGUGUUGUAUUACUUAGUGUAAUGAAAACAAAAGAAUAAAACCAUAACACAAUCCUAUAGAAACCACCUCUAUUUAAGAUAAUGGUUAUGUAAAUCAGGACAUGACUAUAUUAGGGAUGCCUGUGCAAUAGAAACCAAAGGCACAUAAUACCCAAACCCAAUACAUCACUACAAAAAAUGCAAAUAUAUUUUCUUUAGGCUUGUAAAUAGCUCCUCUGUGCCCUGUAGCUAUAUUAAGGAUGUUUGUUACUAGAGGAACGUAUUUAACUUGCCAGUUUUUCUGCUAAAAACGAAUACUUAAAAGGAGAAAGUCUAGGAUCUACCAAACCGCAACCUGAACAGCAAUUUUAUAAAAAAAUUAAAAAAAAUUAAAAAAUUGCUUCCAGGAACAGAAACAUUUGUGGUAACUGUAGCAGUUAAUAUAUCCUCCUUUUGUUUUUACCAAAUGUUUUCUUCAUGUGCAAUCAAAGCUGGCUACACUGGUGAUGGAGGUCACCCUUGAUCAAGUGCCAUGUGUUGAAGAACCUGACUUUAAUUUCAAUCACACUUGCAGACAUUUCAAGCUCUAUUGCAGCACUGCUGAAAGACUUGUAUCGGGGGAAUUGACUCUGAAUGACUUGCAAGCAUAGAGAUCUUCAGCGUUAUUCCUGCUUUAUUACUCAUUUCAGCUUGAUUUACUGCUGAUUUUUAACUUGUAAGCAAACUAUCUCCACAAAGUAAAUUGUGUCAGCAGUCAAGCUGACUCUGUUGUACAGUAAAUGUGUGACAUUUUUGAAACAUGUGUUCUGCAGUCUGAAGAAGCUGUUGCACACUGCCGUUAAUCUCGGGGCCCUUCUCAUUUCCUACCUUGGGCUCCAAGGCCAUACUUAACCGUAAACAAGUGAGUCUCUAUCUGCUGGUUUCUGUACAUUUCUGCUGUGGUUCACUGUAGCUUUCUGUGAGUCUGGAGACACACAGUCCUCAAUUCAUCAACAUUGAAAAUAGUAUUGAAUGUUAUAUAUUUUGUAUUCAAAAUACAAGUCCUCAAUUCCCUUGGCACUAGAAAAGGAGCAGCAAAACAUUAGAGAUGGCAUGUUCAGCACUGACAAAAUGACUCUCGUCUCAAAUGUCAUAGUAUCUUUAUAAUCCAGAGGAACUGAAUGAGAGGCAGAAAAGCUUCUCUUUCCUCAGGUGUGCUUGUAAUUUGCCAGUCUUGGUCAAUGCAACACACAAACAUAGGCAGCGCAGAUUUCAUUCAAAGUAUACUAUUUAAUGCUUACUUCUGCUUAGAACAUGAAGAAAAAGAAACUGUAAUAAUUUUUAUUCGCACAGAGAUCAAUCAGAGGAAUUCAGCUGUCUUAAACAUACUCUCCCAGGUUUUCACCCAACUUCUAGCUGUGCCAUUCUGACCCUGAGGGAGAGAGAGGCAGAACGGGUAGGGAGAAACCUCUGUUGACCAGGAAUAGGGUGAUUAACUGAGUUGUGCCAUGGUACAUUGCAGGGCAACUGACAGGAGGAAGGGGGAUAGGCCAAAUUUUCACCAGGUCUAUGAAAGGCAAAACUGUGCUGUUAAUAUGCAUCCCUUUUACCACCUAAGGACAAUACUAAGUUUGAAUCCAGCUCUGGCAAACAUUUUUUUCUCUUUUGUGCUUCAGAUGCUGAAACUUGUGUUUCUUUACUGCAGUGGGGUGGCAUUUAAAUUGAAUGCCCUUUGGUUUACAAAAGGAGGAAAGAUAAAUAGCAAGUGCAUUUAAAACAAGCAGCAAAUUCUAUAAGCAGCAAAAUUUAUCAAAACUGUUUUCCUGUGCUUUAGUCUUGGGGUCAGUCUCCUGAAUGGAUUUUUUGAUAAAUAAGGACGUGCUCUCAUGAUUGUGUUCUUUUGAUGGACGCAUAUAUAGUUUUCAUCUUCCAGCUAACUCCUGUUUGCAGGAAACUUGAAGGAACUAUCAAAAGGCCUUCUUAUACUUUGGCCAGGAUUGAAGUUACCAAAUUAAAAAAACAGCUAGGGAAGAAACUAAAGACAGAGAUCUAAAGCACGUAGAUUUCUGUACUCACAAGUAAUAGUUAGGAAACCAAGCUAAAAAUAAAAGGAAAAGACAAAUGCGUUUUGUAAGACUAACAUAGCAUGCUUUCUUGCAGUUAAAUGUUCAGUAUGUGCCACCUCUCACACUACAGUUUGCUGUGAAAUUACAGCUUUUCACAAGCAUUACUCAAGCACAUGUUUUACAGUAAGCUAGAUGGCUUCUGGAAUAAAUGAACAGCCAAAGCUGAGCCAGAAAAGUCUGCCAAACUUGCAUGAGGAUGCUCUGUCAUAGACAUGUUUAAAAACCUCAGUUUUUAGCAAUUCAGAUGCCAAUGAGAGGUAUUUUUUUUUAAAAAGGAAUACAUAUAAAUUAAACACGUGUAUCUUUUUUUUCAUAAUUAACUCUCUCAUAUUGUUAAACAUUUGAUAAAGGUCACACAGGCAACAGGCAAAAGUACUGUUGGAAUCUUUAUUUUACCAUAAAACUUCAAGUAAUUUUACUCUAUUUUAACUGUUCUAGCUAAUUAUUAGAGACAGUGAACGAUUCGCCUUUUGAGGUAGGUGGCAUUUGUCCUGUCUAUCCAUCAGGGAGAAGACAGUUGUUCAGUGAUUACUGAAAACACAACUGAAACUGUGCUUAUUUAGCAAUUUCCGCAAUUUCAUCAGAAUGCUGAAAUUUCAUCAGAACGGCCAAACAAGGUUGAAUAGGCUGGGUCUGUGAUGGUAGAAUUAACCUCUAUUCAUCAGUCUCUGCUGUUGGAAGUACCUGAGCAUAAUAGUGCUAGGAUACUAGCAUUUGUACUGCUGAUUAAACCUUACCCUGGGAUCCUAUCCAAGGAAAAGAAAGUAACUUUCCUUAGAACAAGAGCAUUCUCCUUCUUAAGUUUAUUUUCAGGUACGCCAUUACAAAGUGCUGAACAUGAGAUCUCCCUUCCUUUUCUAUACCUAUAAAUUACAGAGCAAUAUUUAAUAAAGUUCUGCAGGGCACAAGAGUUAAGACUGUAUGAUGUGCACACUUGAGGUUUCUGUGGCCACAUUUGCAAACAAUGAAGUGUUUUUAUCUUGUUUCCUUUGGGGAACAACUUUAGUGUUAUCUGGUUAAAUGGUACAAGUAUGCGUGUGUAUACACACAAUUUAUCCCGAGGCAGAAAUAUGAAUGAAUUGUUAAAAGGUCAGUGGUUGCCUGGUUGCUGAGCCAAUGGUAAAAGACCCUCCUCUAAUAGGCCAAAGUGCUUUACUUUCCUGGUUAUGUUCACUCACAUAAGUUACUGGAAUGUGGAUGAAAAAUCCUCUUGAAGGCUGUUAAAACACUAAGUGUACUGUAUCUUUGACAUGCUUGCUGCUCAUAUUGUAACUUACUCCUAGCAUGCAUUAUGUCAGCCUGAUAACUUAGCUUCAGAUGGUCUCUGAAGUCAUAAACUCAGCAGUGUGAUUUCAAAAUA